AGUGAACGCUGGCGGUAGGCCUAACACAUGCAAGUCGAACGGCAGCACAGUAAGAGCUUGCUCUUACGGGUGGCGAGUGGCGGACGGGUGAGGAAUACAUCGGAAUCUACUUUUUCGUGGGGGAUAACGUAGGGAAACUUACGCUAAUACCGCAUACGACCUACGGGUGAAAGCAGGGGAUCUUCGGACCUUGCGCGAUUGAAUGAGCCGAUGUCGGAUUAGCUGGUUGGCGGGGUAAAGGCCCACCAAGGCGACGAUCCGUAGCUGGUCUGAGAGGAUGUGCAGCCACACUGGGACUGAGACACGGUCCAGACUCCUACGGGAGGCAGCAGUGGGGAAUAUUGGACAAUGGGCGCAAGCCUGAUCCAGCCAUACCGCGUGGGUGAAGAAGGCCUUCGGGUUGUAAAGCCCUUUUGUUGGGAAAGAAAAGCAGCAGGUUAAUACCCCGCUGUUCUGACGGUACCCAAAGAAUAAGCACCGGCUAACUUCGUG
rnacentral:rRNA from 1 species